rnacentral:rRNA from 1 species
UUAGUCAUUAUUUUUUAUUAUUAUUAUUUGGUUUUAGUAUUUUAAUUAAUUAUUUAUUUAUUUACUGUUAAGGUUGAUUUAUAAUAUUAAGGUUAAAUUUUUAGUACCUUUUGUAUUAGGGAAGGUUUAUUAAUAAAUUUAUUUUUUAUUCCCGAAUAUAAGAUAUUUAUUUUUAUUUUAUUUAAAUUGUUGUAUAAUUUUAUUUAAUUUAAUUAUAGUAGUUAGAUGUUAACGUUCUUAUUAUAUAUCUGGUUGUUAGAGAUUUAAUUUAAUUAUAGAAUUAUUUAUUUAUUUUAUUAUUUAAACUUUAAUUCUUAAUUUAUUAAGGAUAAUCUUAAUAUUUUAUUAUAAUUUCUUAUUUAUUAUUUUUAUUAUUGAUAGAAUCUUUUAUUUAGUUCUUAAUAGAUUAUUUUAGUUUUUUUUUAUUUUAUUUAAUUUAAUUUUUUAUUUAGCUUUUUUAUUUAAUUUAUUUAUUUAUUAAUAUUGAUUUUAUAAGUAUAAUUUUUAGUUAUAUUUUUAUUAAUUCAGCAUAUAUAAUUUUCAACUGUUUAUCAAAAACAUUUUUUUAUGGUUUUAUAUAAGAUAAUUUCUGCCCAAUGAUUGAUCUUAAUUAAAUGGCUGCAGUAUAUUGACUGUACAAAGGUAGCAUAAUAAUUAGUUUUUUAAUUGGAAACUUGAAUGAAAGGAUAAAUGAGAAAUUUACUUUAUUGAUUUUAUUAUUAAAAUUUUAUUUUUUAGUAAAAAAGCUAAUUUUUUUUUUAGGGACGAUAAGACCCUAUAGAACUUUAAAUUUUUUUUAAUUAAUUUUUAUUUAGGUUUAAUUUGUUUAUUUAAUUUAAUUUUUUAAUUGGGGUGAUUAAUAAAUUUGUUUAUCUUUUUUUAUUUAAUUCAUUUAUUUAUGUUUUUUAUUGAUCCUUUUUUAGAUUUUAAGAUAAGUUACCUUAGGGAUAACAGCGUAAUUUUAAUAGGAAGUUCAUAUUUAAAUUAAAGUUUGCGACCUCGAUGUUGAAUUAAGAUUAGUUUAAGGUGCAGAAGCUUUAAGAUUAAGUCUGUUCGACUUUUAUAUUCUUACAUGAUUUGAGUUCAAACCGGUGUAAGCCAGGUUGGUUUCUAUCUUAAAAUUUAUUUUGAUUAUUAGUACGAAAGGACCAUAGUUAUUAAUUCUUAUUAUUUAUUUUUG